GGUACGGUAGGCAUGAACAUGGGAAACACCUAACUCUUAAUCAGCAGGUUCUCGGUUCGAACCCGAGGCGGGUCACCA
rnacentral:tRNA from 1 species